rnacentral:rRNA from 1 species
GUUAGCUUAAUUAAAAGCAUAUUGGUGGAUACCUUGGGAUAGAUGGCCGAAGAAGGACGUGAUAGGCUGCGAUAAGCUUCGGGAAGGCGCCUAAAGCCUGUGAUCCGGAGAUUUCCGAAUGGGGAAACCCAUGAGCGUAAAACGCUCAUACUCCGACUUUGAGUCGGAGAGGUAAGCGAGCGAACUGAAACAUCCAAGUAGCUCGAGGAAAAGAAAACAAAGUUAUUCCCUGAGUAGUGGCGAGCGAAACGGGAAGAGUCUAAACCAUGCAGGUGUCAAGGCCACAGCCGUUGCCUGCGUGGAGUUGCAAGAGCAAACGUUCUCAACUGUGAUUGAGAGGCAAAGUAAAAAAACAUAUUGCUAGUCGAAGGUCUCUGGAAGGAGCCGUCAAAGAGGGUGAUAGCCCCGUAGACGAAAGCGGUAUGUCUUUGCUGUUUGUUUCUUAAGUACUAUAGGACACGUGAAAUCCUGUAGGAAGCUGGGGAGACCACUCUCCAAGACUAAAUACCAUCUGUCACCGAUAGUGAACUAGUACCGUGAGGGAAAGGUGAAAAGAACCCCGGGAGGGGAGUGAAAUAGAAUAUGAAACCAUAUGCUUACAAGAUAUAGGAGCCGCCGUACCUCACUGUGUUCGGUACGGAAUGUCUAAUAUCUAAUUGACCUAAUUUCUAAUAAAAUACCCAAUAAAUAACUUCCCAAUAAUUAAGUUUUGGGUUUUGUGAUUUGGAAUUUGUUUAGAAAUUAGAACUUAGAAAUUAGAAAUUUCGUCCGCCGAGCAUAGCGAGGUGCGACGGUGACUGUGUUCCUAUUGAUGAAUGCGCCAACGAGUUAGCUAGGCGUGGCAAGGUUAAGCCUUUAAAGGCGGAGCCGUAGUGAAAGCGAGCAUUAAAAUGCGAAUAGUCGCGUCUACUAGACCCGAAACCAGGUGAUCUACCCAUGGUCAGGAUGAACCCCACCGAAAGGUGUGGAGGAGGUCCGAACCCAUUAGUGUUGCAAAACUACGGGAUGAACUGUGGGUCGCAGAGAAAUUCUAAUCGAACCUGGUGAUAGCUGGUUCUCUUCGAAAUAUAUUUAGGUAUAGCUCCCAACUUAUAAUCAGGAGGGGUAGAGCACUGGAUGGGCAUUUGUUCCUUCGGGGACAAUGUCCAAACAAACUCCGAAUACUUCUGACAGUGUUGGGAAGUCAGACUGUGGGGGCUAAGCUCCAUAGUCGAGAGGGAAAGAACCCAGACCGCAAUCUAAGGUCCCUAAACAUGUCUAAGUGGAAAAGGAAGUGAGAUUACUUAAACAACCAGGAGGUUGGCUUAGAAGCAGCCAUCCUUUAAAGAAAGCGUAACAGCUCACUGGUCAAGUGAUUUUGCGCCGACAAUUCAACGGGGCUAAGGCAUGUACCGAAGAUGCGGAUGUCAGUGCGGAGCACUGACACACGAAUUGCACAAAUCUUUGAACGAAUCUCACGAAUUUAUUCGUGGUAUUAGUUUUUUGUUCGUGUGAUUAGUGUGCCAAUGCUCUGCAUCGACAUGGUAGAAGAGCGUUCUUGAUGCGCUGAAGCUGACGCGUGAGCGUUGGUGGAGCGUCAAGAAGUGAGAAUGUUGGCAUGAGUAGCGAUAACUCCGGUGAAAAACCGGGGCGCCGUAAAACCAAGGUUUCCUGGACCACGGUAAUCGUUCCAGGGUUAGUCGGUCCUAAGCCAAACCCGAAAGGGGCAGGCGAUGGACAACAGGUUAAUAUUCCUGUACUGUCGUAGUAUCGCCCAAAUACUGUCCUUUGCAAGAUAAGAUUUAUCUUUUCGCGCAUUGGGUGGUCAGCAAUGGGGUGACGCAUUUUUGAGCUUGGAGCAUCUUUUGGCUAUUGGUGUUUAAGCGUAUUUGGUGGUUUGAUAGGAAAAUCCGCAAACAAAUCCAGGUGCGCGAGUAAGACCCGCCGAUGAGGCGGGGAUUCCAGGGGAAAAGGUGACAAGAAAAACCUCUAGCGAGAUACUAUGAUAACCGUACCGUAAACCGACUCAGGUGGUUGAGGAGAGUAUCCUCAGGCGUUUGGAAGAACCUUCGUUAAGGAACUCGGCAAAAAAGCGUGCGUAAGUUAGCGAUAAGCACUGUCCCCCAUCACUUUGCAAACAUAAUUUUGUGAAAACUAAUGUUAUAGCAACAAGAAUACAUUGGUUAAUUUACUGAUUAUGUUAUCAAAGUGAUGGGGGAUCGCAGCGAAAGAGCCCAGCCAACUGUUUAGCAAAAACACAGGUCCCUGCUAACUCUUAAAGAGGAUGUAUAGGGGCUGACGCCUGCCCAAUGCCAGAAGGUCACGGAAGGGGGUUAGCGUGCUUUGCACGCAAAGCUUCUAACCUAAGCCCUGGUGAAUGGCGGCCCUAACUAUAAGGGUCCUAAGGUAGCGAAAUUCCUUGUCUGGUAAGUUCAGACCCGCACGAAAGGCGUAAUGAUCUGGGCGCUGUCUCAACGAAGGAUCCAGCGAAAUUACAAUAACGGUAAAGAUGCCGUUUACUCACAGCAAGACGGAAAGACCCCAUGAAGCUUUACUAUAGCCUGACAUUGAAUUAAGAUUUUGUCAUGCGUAGCAUAGGUGGGAGACUUUGAAGUUCCGCUUUUGGGCGGGACAGAGUCGUUAGUGAAAUACCACCCUUAUAAGAUUUUGAUUCUAACCGGUCGAAAGACUGAGACAGUGUUUGGUGGGUAGUUUGACUGGGGCGGUGGCCUCCUAAAAUGUAACGGAGGCGUUCAAAGGUCAACUAGCUCCGGAUGGAAAUCGGAGCGAUAGCGCAAAAGCAAAAGUUGGCUUGACUGCGAGACGAACAUGUCGAGCAGGGCGGAAACGCGGAUUUAGUGAUCCUUCGAUGCAACGUGGGUUGCUCGAAGCUCAACGGAUAAAAGUUACUCUGGGGAUAACAGGCUGAUCCUAUCCAAGAGUCCACAUCGACGAUAGGGUUUGGCACCUCGAUGUCGGCUCGUCGCAUCCUGGGGGUGGAGCAACUCCCAAGGGUUUGGCUGUUCGCCAAUUAAAGCGGUACGCGAGCUGGGUUCAGAACGUAAAUAACAUUGCGUUGUGUAUCGGGAAACUGAUAUACUAGUAUUGACUUAUAUCGGUGAAGCCCUACUCUCUUUUACCAAACUAGAGAGAGGGUAAUACCGAGGGAAGAUUUAAGAUUAUGCCAAAAAGUAAUGAUGCCUAUAUUGCUGGUUUUCUUGAUGGCGAUGGAUCCAUAAUGGCUCAAAUCAUCAAGAAAAAUGAUUAUCGAUUUGGAUUUCAAAUCCGAACGAGUAUUGUUUUCUACCAAAAACAAGGCAAGGAAAGUUUUAUGAAUUGGUUGAAGAAUCAAUUACAUUAUGGAUAUAUUCGCAAAAGAAAAGACGGAAUGACAGAGUAUGCCAUAGUCGGUUUCAAGGAAGUUGAAGAGAUUCUGAAAAGAUUUCACUCGCAUCUGAUUCUCAAAAAAGAAUUAGCGAGUCUAGUCCUAAAAAUAGUUCAAAUGCCAAAGAAACCAACAGUAAAACAAUUUCUUGCAAACUGCGAAAUGGUAGAUAGAUCAGCGAUGUUUAAUUAUUCCAAAAAACGAAAGAUAAGAACGCAACAGGUGAAAGAAUACUUGGCAAAAAAUAAUCUUAUUUCCCCGUAACGACUCAUAAUUAUUCGGCAAAAAUAAUUAUGGAUGGUUUAUUCAAGAAAUCUUGGAAUUCCAUAACACGUCAACCCCUCCUCCGAGGCGUCGGAAAGGGUGAAGAUAUAGUCUGCGCCAUUAGUAAUAAUGGAAUAACGUGCGUGAGACAGUUUGGUCCUUAUCUGCUGUGAGCGCAAGAAACUUGAGAGGGGUCGUCUCUAGUACGAGAGGACCGAGACGAACGAGCCUCUGGUGUACCAGUUGUUCUGCCAAGAGCAUUGCUGGGUAGCUAUCGCUCGGAAGAGAUAAACGCUGAAAGCAUCUAAGCGUGAAACUCGCCUCAAGACUAGGUUUCAUUAAGAUUCCUGGCAGAUCACCAGGUUGAUAGGCUGCAGGUGCAAGGGCAGUAAUGUCUUCAGCCGAGCAGUACUAAUAAAUCGUAAGUUAAUUCUACAA